rnacentral:rRNA from 1 species
GAAACGGUGGCUAAUACCGCAUAACGUCGCAAGACCAAAGAGGGGGACCUUCGGGCCUCUUGCCAUCAGAUGUGCCCAGAUGGGAUUAGCUUGUUGGUGAGGUAACGGCUCACCAAGGCGACGAUCCCUAGCUGGUCUGAGAGGAUGACCAGCCACACUGGAACUGAGACACGGUCCAGACUCCUACGGGAGGCAGCAGUGGGGAAUAUUGCACAAUGGGCGCAAGCCUGAUGCAGCCAUGCCGCGUGUAUGAAGAAGGCCUUCGGGUUGUAAAGUACUUUCAGCGGGGAGGAAGGUGUUGUGGUUAAUAACCGCAGCAAUUGACGUUACCCGCAGAAGAAGCACCGGCUAACUCCGUGCCAGCAGCCGCGGUAAUACGGAGGGUGCAAGCGUUAAUCGGAAUUACUGGGCGUAAAGCGCACGCAGGCGGUCUGUCAAGUCGGAUGUGAAAUCCCCGGGCUCAACCUGGGAACUGCAUUCGAAACUGGCAGGCUUGAGUCUUGUAGAGGGGGGUAGAAUUCCAGGUGUAGCGGUGAAAUGCGUAGAGAUCUGGAGGAAUACCGGUGGCGAAGGCGGCCCCCUGGACAAAGACUGACGCUCAGGUGCGAAAGCGUGGGGAGCAAACAGGAUUAGAUACCCUGGUAGUCCACGCCGUAAACGAUGUCUACUUGGAGGUUGUGCCCUUGAGGCGUGGCUUCCGGAGCUAACGCGUUAAGUAGACCGCCUGGGGAGUACGGCCGCAAGGUUAAAACUCAAAUGAAUUGACGGGGGCCCGCACAAGCGGUGGAGCAUGUGGUUUAAUUCGAUGCAACGCGAAGAACCUUACCUGGUCUUGACAUCCACAGAACAUUCCAGAGAUGGAUUGGUGCCUUCGGGAACUGUGAGACAGGUGCUGCAUGGCUGUCGUCAGCUCGUGUUGUGAAAUGUUGGGUUAAGUCCCGCAACGAGCGCAACCCUUAUCCUUUGUUGCCAGCGGUCCGGCCGGGAACUCAAAGGAGACUGCCAGUGAUAAACUGGAGGAAGGUGGGGAUGACGUCAAGUCAUCAUGGCCCUUACGACCAGGGCUACACACGUGCUACAAUGGCGCAUACAAAGAGAAGCGACCUCGCGAGAGCAAGCGGACCUCAUAAAGUGCGUCGUAGUCCGGAUUGGAGUCUGCAACUCGACUCCAUGAAGUCGGAAUCGCUAGUAAUCGUGGAUCAGAAUGCCACGGUGAAUACGUUCCCGGGCCUUGUACACACCGCCCGUCACACCAUGGGAGUGGGUUGCAAAAGAAGUAGGUAGCUUAACCUUCGGGAGGGCGCUUACCACUUUGUGAUUCAUGACUGGGGUGAAGUCGUAACAAGGUAACCGUAGGGGAACCUGC